CGUAGGGGCGAAGCGUUAUCCGGAUUUACUGGGUGUAAAGGGAGCGUAGACGGCGAUGCAAGCCAGAUGUGAAAGCCCGGGCUCAACCCCGGGACUGCAUUUGGAACUGCGUGGCUGGAGUGUCGGAGAGGCAGGCGGAAUUCCUAGUGUAGCGGUGAAAUGCGUAGAUAUUAGGAGGAACACCAGUGGCGAAGGCGGCCUGCUGGACGAUGACUGACGUUGAGGCUCGAAAGCGUGGGAGCAAACAGGAUU
rnacentral:rRNA from 1 species